rnacentral:rRNA from 1 species
GACGAACGCUGGCGGCGUGCUUAACACAUGCAAGUGGAGCGACGAACCAGGGCUUGCCCUGGGGCAGAGCCGCGAACGGGUGAGUAACACGUGGGUAACCUGCCUCGAUGAUCGGGACAACCCGGGGAAACCCGGGCUAAUACCGAAUGUGCUCCGACCACAUCAGUGGACGGCGUAAAGGAAGCUUCGGCCUCCGCAUCGAGAUGGGCCCGCGGCCCAUUAGCUUGUUGGUGGGGUAAAGGCCCACCAAGGCUUCGAUGGGUAGCUGGUCUGAGAGGACGAUCAGCCACACUGGGACUGAGACACGGCCCAGACUCCUACGGGAGGCAGCAGUGGGGAAUCUUGCGCAAUGCGCGAAAGCGUGACGCAGCAGCGCCGCGUGGGGGAAGACGGCCUUAGGGUUGUAAACCCCUUUCAGGAGGGACGAAGGUCGGCGCGUUAAUAGCGUGUCCGACUGACGGUACCUCCACAAGAAGCCCCGGCUAACUACGUGCCAGCCGCCGCAGUAA